GUAAUAAAAGCCGAAAAGUGGCAUCGGUCUUGUAAAUCGAAGGACGAGCAAGUAGCUCUUAUUGCA
rnacentral:tRNA from 1 species